UGGUAUCCUCAAUGGUUAUGCCA
rnacentral:siRNA from 1 species